GCGCUUGCAUUUUGUUGAGCUGUGUCUCAUGUCGCUCUGCCUCCUGCAGGGCAGCAGAGAGCUGUUUCCGCAGAUCCAUUUCCUUCUUCUGGUGUGCAGUCAGCUCCAGCUGCAGUUGGGACACCUGUGCUGUGGCAGAUGCCAACUCCUCUGCAACUUUGGCCUUCUCCUGUUCUGCAUGCAACACUCUUGCCUGUGUGUUUUCGUUUGUUGUUUGUAGUGAGUGGUUCCUCUGCUCCAUUAACAAGUUACUUUGUUCGACAUAUCUCUGAUUCCGCUCUAUCAGCUCACUGAUCUUUUCAUUCUGCUCCUCAAUUCGACUGCUCUUCUCAAAUAUCUCUUGCUUCAGUCUCUCAUUCUCCUGGAUUAUCCGCUGGAUGUUGCUCAUGAUCAUAGAGGCUUCCAUAGUAACAGAUGAGAUCCCAGGCAGUAGUGAGCUGUUCCCAGUGUUUUGUUUCUUCAGCUCCUCCACCUUGGCAGCCAGAUGAUCCAUUUUAUCUACUACUUUGCUAACAGCCAGUCGGAUUUCAGUGUUAUGCUGCCGAACUUCUGUCAUCAAAAAGGAAGUAAC
rnacentral:lncRNA from 1 species